rnacentral:tRNA from 1 species
GCCGACGUAGCCCAAACUGAGGCAGAGGCACCAGUUUUAGAAACUGGCGAGUGUGGGUUCAACUCCCACCGUCGGCA